rnacentral:miRNA from 1 species
CACGCGGGAACCGAGUCCACC